CUUUAGCUCAGCUGGUCAGAGCGCAUGAUUUGUAAUCUUGAGGUCGUUGGUUCGAAUCCGACAA
rnacentral:tRNA from 4 species